CUCCAAAAGAAAAGGGAAAUUGCAAAGCCCAUCUAGAGCCAGAGUGACAGCAUAUUUUUUUAUGAAUCAAGAAUCAACAUCGGGCUAUUUCCUAAGAUUAGACCAUGAAAGCCCACUUGGAGGCUGCACAGCUAUCUGCACACUUGAACCUGAAAAAUGGUCUUUUGCCAUCAGGGAGCUGAAUCAUCAGAAGUGAUUAGGUGACUGGAUAGAGAUUCUCUGUGAAAAUGACAUUUCGACUGGGACCUGAGGAUGAGUCAGAAGGAGUUUAUGAAGUGGCUCCUCCCUGCCAUUCAAAGUCAGAGAAAAGGAUAAAGUAAUGCCAUUUGCAGCAACAUGGAUGGACCUAGAGAUUAUCAUACUAAGUAAAAGACUAUUUUCUGAAUGAAAGGGUGGAGGUACCAGCAUCGUCUUGCAAUGUCAAGAGAUUAAGGAAAACUGGCAAUCAAUCACCAUCCUUUUUCAGAGGAAAAGAACACCCAAGAGUAGAAAGGAAAGUUCUGGGAGAAGUGAUUUUCAUCCAUCUACUUUGGAAUUUAGUCGAUUUCUGGAAGGAGUUGAACAGAGGAAGCAAGCAGAAGAUGAAAAGUUUAAAAACAGGAGAAUCUGCUUUGUGUGCAUUAAAUACCUCCGCAGGUCUUAUUGUUUUAGAAAGUUUUGAUGAAUUCGAAGAGCAGAAAAACAAAUUUAUUCUGGAAUAA
rnacentral:lncRNA from 1 species